GUUUGUGAUAAGAUAAUACUUUUGUAGACAUUUUACAUUUAAAAGUGUCAUCAGGAAGAUUCGGUUUUUUUUACCAAUAUCUGGAGAAAUUCAAUUCUGAAGAGGAAAAAUUUUAUGGACAUCGUUCUUGUUUAAUAUUAGGAAGGACAGAAUAUAUCUACCAAAGAUAAAUGUUUAAACGAAAAGAAAUCAAUGUUAUAUUAAACAUAACAGAAUGAACGCGCAAGCUACAAUUAGUCCAUUAAAACUGAUAACAACACCUGGUUUACAGAUACAAGACGAUCAGAAUAAAGUUCCAAUGAUUACAGGUCCCCCAGGAGAUUUGAAUAACGAAAAGAAAAGGUGGCUGAUUAUUGGGAUAUGUCUGCAUACGAUUAUUUCUCCUCUGCUGAGAAAA